rnacentral:rRNA from 1 species
ACCCGCUGAAUUUAAGCAUAUCACUAAGCGGAGGAAAAGAAACCAACAGGGAUGCCCCUAGUAAUGGCGAAUGAAGCGGGCAGAGCUCACGCCGGAAAUCCGGAGGCCUUUUAGAGUCGCCUCCUGAAUUGUAGUCUGGAGAGGUGCCAUCGGUCCCCCUCGGCGCCAAAAUCCCUUGGAACGGGGUAUCGGAGAAGGUGAGAAUCCUGUCAAGCGCCGGAGUGGGACCGUACGAUGUGCUCUCGUAGAGUCGGGCUGCUUGGGAGUGCAGCCUGAAGCGGGUGGUAAAUUCCAUCUAAAGCUAAAUACUGGCGGGAGACCGAUAGCGAACAAGUACCGUGAGGGAAAGAUGCAAAGAACUUUGAAAAGAGAGUUAAAGAGCGCUUGAAAUUGGCAGGAGGAAACCCGGUUGCGCGUGGCAUUUGGCGUGGUCGACUCAGCCGCGCGCGGAGAUCUGUAGGGGACCUAACGGCCUCGUGGUCAGCGCGUGCGGUGCACUUCGGCCGCGUCGGUCAGCCGCGUUUCUGCGCGGUCCAUACGGCCGUGGGCAGGGCUUCGGCGCCGCCUGCGGUUUGGGGGUCGCGCGGGAUCCCGGCUGAUGCGCACGGGCGCAACCGACCCGUCUAGAAACACGGACCAAGGAGUCUGACGCGUGUGCGAGUACUAGAGUGGCAAGCUCGAGUGCGCAAUGAAAGUGAAGGGCGUGCCCCGUCAACCGAUCUUGAUCUUCUGUGAAGGGUUUGAGUGGAGCACAUCUGUCGGGACCCGAAAGAUGGUGAACUAUGCCUGAGGAGGGUGAAGCCAGAGGAAACUCUGGUGGAGGCUCGUAGCGAUACUGACGUGCAAAUCGUUCGUCGAACUUGGGUAUAGGGGCGAAAGACUAAUCGAACCAUCUAGUAGCUGGUUCCCUCCGAAGUUUCCCUCAGGAUAGCUUGAACGCCGACGGUUUUGUCAGGUAAAGCGAAUGAUUAGAGGCCUUGGGGCUGAAACAGCCUUAACCUAUUCUCAAACUUUAAAUGGGCAAGAGGCGCCGGAUGCUUGACUGAUCCGGCGCGGUGAACGGCGCGUUCAAAGUGGGCCAUUUUUGGUAAGCAGAACUGGCGAUGCGGGAUGAACCGAACGCGGCGCUAAGGUACCCAAGUGUCCGCUCAUCAGAGACCACAAAAGGCGUUGGUACCUCCAGACAGCAGGACGGUGGCCAUGGAAGUCGGAACCCGCUAAGGAGUGUGUAACAACUCACCUGCCGAAGGUACUAGCCCUGAAAAUGGAUGGCGCUCAAGCGGACCACCGAGGCGUUGCCGCCGGCGCGAGCGCGAGGCGUCCGGCGAGUAGGAGGGCGCGCAGUGGGCGACGCAGCUUGAGGCGUGAGCCUGAGUGAAGCCGACUGUGGUGCAGAUCUUGGUGGUAGUAGC